rnacentral:lncRNA from 1 species
AUGCCCUCCUCUGUGCCACUGGAAUUCCAUGCUGUGUUGAUCCCUCCUCUUUGCCAGUGGAAUUCCACCCUGUGCCAAUCCCAGUUCUAUCCUGUGCCAAUCCCUCCUUCUUGCUGCUGGAAUUCCAUCCCGUGCCAAUCCCUCCUCCUCUGUGCUGUUGGAAUUCCACCCCGUGCCGAUCCCAAUUCCAUCCUGUGCCGAUCCCAAUUCUAUCCUGUGCCAAUCCCUCCUCCUCCUCACUGCUGGAAUUCCAUCCCGUGCCAAUCCCUCCUCCUCUGUGCCGCUGGAAUUCCACCCUGUGCUGAUCCCAAUUCCAUCCAUGCCAAUCCCAAUUCCAUCCCUUACCAGUCCCAAUUCCAUCCCGUGCCAAUCCCUCCUCUUUGCCGCUGGAAUUCCAUCCCUUGCCGAUCCCUCCUCCUCACUGCUGGGAAUUCCAUCCCACGUCCAUCUCUCCUCUUUGCCACUGGAAUUCCACCCCAUGCCAAUCCCAGUUCCAUCCCAUGCCAAUCCCAAUUCCAUCCCAGGCCCACAUCUUGUGCCAAUCCCUCCUCUGUGCCACUGGAAUUCCACCCCAUGCCAAUCCCAGUUCCAUCCCGUGCCAAUCCAAAUUCCAUCCCAGGCCCACAUCUUGUGCCAAUCCCUCCUCUGUGCUACUGGAAUUCCACCCCGUGCCAAUCCCAAUUCCACCCUUUGCCAAUCCCAGUUCCAUCCCAUGCCAAUCCCAAUUCCAUCCUGUGCCCACCCAAGUUCCAUCCCAUGCCAAUCCCAAUUCCACCCUUUGCCAAUCCCAGUUCCAUCCCGUGCCCAUCCCAAUUCCACCCUUUGCCAAUCCCAGUUCCAUCCUGUGCCCAUCCCAAUUCCACCCUUUGCCCAUCCCAGUUCCAUCCCAUGCCCAUCCCAAUUCCAUCCUGUGCCCAUCCCUCCUCCACUGUGCCGCUGGAAUUCCCGGCCCAGCGCCCUCCUCGCUGCCUGCCCAGCCGCAAGGAAAGGCUCCAUCAUUCCAGGGAAUCCCUUGGCCGCUCCUGCUCCUCCCUCCUCUGUCACCUCCCCCAUGGACAGCCGGGCCUGGCCGCCUCACCCAAGGGCAGGACCCCAAAAAACCCCAAAAUUCAAAGGAGGGAGCACUGCAGAAACCUCCCUGCCAAUCCCCUUCCCCAGAAUGUCCGCGGGCAGCUGGGCACUGCUGUAAAUAGAAUUCCUAGAGGAACAAAAUAG